AGGCAGCUUAAUUUUUUUUUUUUUCAGAAUAUGACCCCCAAGAUACUUCUUUGUUUAUUAUUCAUUACUAGUAAAGAUAAAAAAAGCAAGCAGAAGUUGAUAAAAGUUCUAAUACUUCCCAACUUCCUCGUCCUUCUCGUCCUCGCUCCAACAACAUUUCAACAGGGUUGACCUUGGAGAUGAGGCAUAAUCUCCUCCGGUCUUCACAAAGCUCUGGUAGAUAACGGUUCCAUUUUCCCCCAGCAUUUCACAGCUCUUCUCACCACCCUCGUAACCCUUCAAUUCCAGGCAGAGUAAAUCUUCCAGAUUCUCACCAACGAGAUCUGAAUGGAGGGCAACAGAAAAAUCAGAAGGCUGGAAGCAUGCCAGCACCCUCACAAUCAGCUUAGACAGAUUUAUGUCGUCGAAGUCAUAACCAGCUGCUUCAAAGCUUGCAUAACUAAAACCAUCUUCUGGAGUAACAUGG
rnacentral:misc_RNA from 1 species